rnacentral:tRNA from 1 species
AGGGGUGUAGCUCAGUUGGUAGAGCACUGGAUUCCAAAUCCAGCGGUCGUGAGUUCGAGUCUCUCCGCCCCUGCCA